AUAAGCACCGGCUAACUACGUGCCAGCAGCCGCGGUAAUACGUAGGGUGCAAGCGUUAUCCGGAAUUAUUGGGCGUAAAGGGCUCGUAGGCGGUUCGUCGCGUCCGGUGUGAAAGUCCAUCGCUUAACGGUGGAUCUGCGCCGGGUACGGGCGGGCUGGAGUGCGGUAGGGGAGACUGGAAUUCCCGGUGUAACGGUGGAAUGUGUAGAUAUCGGGAAGAACACCAAUGGCGAAGGCAGGUCUCUGGGCCGUUACUGACGCUGAGGAGCGAAAGCGUGGGGAGCGAACAGGAUUAGAUACCCUGGUAGUCCACGCCGUAAACGGUGGAUGCUGGAUGUGGGGCCCGUUCCACGGGUUCCGUGUCGGAGCUAACGCGUUAAGCAUCCCGCCUGGGGAGUACGGCCGCAAGGCUAAAACUCAAAGAAAUUGACGGGGGCCCGCACAAGCGGCGGAGCAUGCGGAUUAAUUCGAUGCAACGCGAAGAACCUUACCUGGGCUUGACAUGUUCCCGACAGCCGUAGAGAUAUGGCCUCCCUUCGGGGCGGGUUCACAGGUGGUGCAUGGUCGUCGUCAGCUCGUGUCGUGAGAUGUUGGGUUAAGUCCCGCAACGAGCGCAACCCUCGCCCUGUGUUGCCAGCACGUCAUGGUGGGAACUCACGGGGGACCGCCGGGGUCAACUCGGAGGAAGGUGGGGAUGACGUCAGAUCAUCAUGCCCCUUACGUCCAGGGCUUCACGCAUGCUACAAUGGCCGGUACAACGGGAUGCGACACGGCGACGUGGAGCGGAUCCCUGAAAACCGGUCUCAGUUCGGAUUGGAGUCUGCAACCCGACUCCAUGAAGGCGGAGUCGCUAGUAAUCGCGGAUCAGCAACGCCGCGGUGAAUGCGUUCCCGGGCCUUGUACACACCGCCCGUCAAGUCAUGAAAGUGGGUAGCACCCGAAGCCGGUGGCCUAACCCUUUGUGGAUGGAGCCGUCUAAGGUGAGACUCGUGAUUGGGACUAAGUCGUAACAAGGUAGCCGUACCGGAAGGUGCGGCUGGAUCACCU
rnacentral:rRNA from 1 species